rfam:Oryza glaberrima chromosome 9 Oglab09_0105_1, whole genome shotgun sequence.
AAUAAACCUUGAUUUUUGUGCCCAACAUUUGACCGUCUAUCUUAUUUAAAAAAAUUAUGAAAAAAAGUUAAAAAGACAAGUCACGUAUAAAAUAUUAAUCAUAUUUUAUCAUCUAACAACAAUAAAAAUACUAAUUAUAAAAAAAAUUUCUAUAAGAUGGACAGUUAAAGUUGGACAUGAAAAUCUAGGGUUUGCCUUUUU